GUACAUACCUCGCCAUGGAUUUAUGCGCACUUUGCGAAACAAAUACGCCUGAAGUGGGCGCAAAAGCGUUAGUACAUCUGGCCCUGAGAAUUUUAAUUGUAAUGUGAUGAUCGGGUGCGGAUAUCUAAUCGGAGAAAAUCAUUGGUGAUGAUGAUGUAUCGGUUCAACUGAGACAUAUCCAGCUGCAGACCCGCAGCACCACCAGUUUCAGAACCCCAGUUUCAGAACCCCAGUUUCAGAACCCCAGCGCCAGAACCUGAAGUGAGGGGCGGAGUUAUUGACAAUGAGACAAGCAUGGCGGAGAGCAUGUAUGCUCUACAUCUUGUCUUGGGAGCACCCUUUGAUUUUACAUCUUGCCACUUUCCAAACAUACGGAGAUGGUGGGCUUAUUUUUCUGGAGAACUUUGGGGUUUU